GUUAAAUGCGAGGUUAAAGUGUCAACAGAAGUUUUUGUUCGAAGUCGGUGCUAAUCUAAAAUGUAUAAUCAUCCAUUUCCUGCGAAUUUUUCCUUCCACGGGAAAAUGCUGUGGCCGAACGUUGGUACUACGCUCUUCCUGGCUGAGCUAGUGGAUUCAACAAUUCGAGUUCAGCGAAUAUGGUGUGGAUCAAGGUGAAAUUGUUGAGUGGACAUCCGUACAAAAAGGGUCCCCGUAAACAUAACUUAUGUAUUCAGUUUCCCGCGCUCACUAAGGGUGUGCGAUGGUGGCGAGUGUGGCAGAAUAUAUUCUGAGGUGAUUAUAGAUAAGCUUUAUUAGACAAUAAAUCAAAUUUAACAAAUAAUGUUCAGUAUU